rnacentral:rRNA from 1 species
UACGUAGGAUGCAAGCGUUGUUCGGAAUUACUGGGCGUAAAGAGUACGUAGGCGGUCUGGCAAGUCUGAUAUUAAAGACUGGAGCUUAACUUCAGGACUGUAUCGGAAACUGCCAAACUAGAGGACUAUAGAGGAAGUCGGAAUUCUCAGUGUAGCGGUGAAAUGCGUAGAUAUUGGGAAGAACACCCAGUGGCGAAAGCGGACUUCUGGGUAGUUACUGACGCUGAGGUACGAAAGCGUGGGGAGCAAACGGG